UGGGGGAGGAGGAAGCGGGGCUAGGGCAGAUCCGGGAGAGACAUCCUGGAAGCAUCCGUCGGGAAGCCUUCCUGGAGAAGGUCAUGUUUAGAAUGAGUCUUGAAAGAAAAGUGGGAACUUGCUCAGCAAAGGAAGGAGCACAGGGCGUUUAGCAGGGAGAGCAGCUGUGAGACUUUGGAAACAAAUCAUUUAACCUCCCGGAGCCUUGGUUCCCCACUCUGAAGAAUCCUACCUCACCACUGAAGAAGAUAAUAUACGCAAAGUACGGUGCCUGGCCUGUAGCAGUUUCUGUAGAUGUCUUGACUGUUGGCUUGAGUCCUUAAGUUACCCAGCCCGUUUUCAAAGAUCUGCAAAAUAAUUUUAAAAGCUGAUGGUAUUUUCCACCACGAAGAAAAUCUCAAUAGUUUUGAAAAUACAGACGUCAUAUGGGCCACCAUUCUGUUCACAAUAUAUUAAGCUAGAAAUUAAUGUUAGAAAUCAAAUAUCUGAAAUAUUCCAAAAUAGCUUUUGGAUGAAGGGGGAAAUCAAGAAUAAAGUGCCAAUUUAGAAAAUAAUACAAAUAAGAACUGCACUUAUGAAAACCGAUGGUAUAUAUGCAAGCUUUACUCAAAAUUUCAUUUAGCGAUGAAUUGUAUAUGUAAAAAUGUUGAAAUGGCAAAUGUUUUGUUAUCUAUAUUUUUAUCACGAUAAAACAAUUUUUAAAUAAAAAAUUUAUUUAGAUUUUAAAAUGGUUUUAUCAUUAAACCUAGAAAAAGUUAAAUAAAAUGAUGAUUUAUUAGACAAUUUAGAAAUAUGAAAACACAAAACCCCAAAUAAAGACGAGGAAGGAAGAAAUAAGGGAAAAAGCAGGAAAGAAUAUAAAAAAGAAGAACAGUGGAGUUAAUACAUAGGUUCCUGAACUGGUUCUUUUUAUCAAAAUAAGGUUGGAAUAAUCCGACAGACAAAUUUAAUGAAGAAAACAAACAAAAAGAAGCGCGCACAGUUUACGGUGAAAUGGUGGAUGUGAUGACAGAAAUAGAGAGGCUUACAAAACAGGAAAGUAGGGAAGGAUAUCAUGUGAAACUGCUGACGACUUUGAAAUAUCAACGCAAAAGAUAAUUUUCUGAAAAAAAAUUAAAAAAUGAAGAAGUUUCUAUGUUUGACAGAGUCGGAAGUAGAAAAUUGAAACCACCUGCUUUAGUGUCUGCUCAAAAGCACUGUGGACAGAGGCUGCCCUGACCAGCUUCUAAAGCACUGCCUCUCUACCCCCUGCUCUGGUUCGUAUUUCUCUGCAGCACUUCCCAGCAUCUGACGUAACUUAUGCCUAAUUGUUUACUUGUUUCCCUUCUUCCCUCCCCACUAGAAAAUGAGCCUCCUGAGAAGACAGGACUUUGCUUUUUUUUUUUUUUUUUAAUUCAAAGUUUUUAUUUUGAGAUAAUUGUAUUUUUUAAAAAAUUAAAUGUUUUAUUUUAAGACAAUUGUAAGAGAACGUUGUUUUGUUCACUGCUGUAUCCCUAUUACCUGGAAUUGGGCCUGGCACAUAUUAGGUACUUUCAAUAAAUACUAGUUUAAUCAUUAAAUGAAUUGAGGGAAAAUUUAAGAAAGUUAUCAAGAACAUUGUUCCCCAAAAUCUCUGAGUCCAGAUGGUUUUACUGGGAAGAAGAGGGGUCAUCUUUUAAAGUUUUAAGGCAUGGUAACCCCAUGUUAUAUAAAUUAAUCCAGAAUAUAGCAUUAUAUAGUCUACACAUUUUUUUUUCCUGAGGGAUAUAAGAGAAGACCUGAUAUAAGAGAAUACUCCAUGCCUUGGUUCAAGGCUAAAUAAUGUAAAUAUAGAAAGAAUAAGUUAAUUUACAGGCAUAGUACAAAUCCAAAUCUGAAUUUUUUUCAAAGCUUUAGUAAAAGAUUAUAAAAUUCAUUUAGCAGAAAAAAGAGAUAGAACUUCAAAGAAAAUUUUGUAAAAUAAGAAUCAGGAUGGAGGGAACAGACCUUCUAGAUAUAAAACACAUUAGAAAGUUAUGAUAUUUAAAAUAGUAUGAUAUUAAGGCAAAAAUACGUAGUUGUUUUAGUAGAUUAAAAUGGGUAGCUCAAAAUGAGGCAAUGACACACAUACUAUUUUAAUAUGUAAUAAAGUAACCAUCACAAGCGAAAAGAAGGGCUAUUUUAAAAAUUACUUUGGGAAUGGAUAAACAAAACAUGGUAUAGACAUACAAUGGAAUAUUAAUCAGCCACAAAGAGAAAUGAAGUUCUGAUACUUGCUACGACAAGAAUGUACCUUGAAAACAUUAUGCUGAAUGAAGUAAGUCAGUUACAAAGGGACAUAUAUAGUAUGAUCUCACUUAUAUGAAAUGUCUAGAGUAGACAAAUGUAUAGAGACCAACAUGCAUUAGUGAUUACCAGGGGUGGGGUUUUUUAAAGUUUUAAGGCAUGGUAACUCCAUGGUACAUAAAUUAAUCCAGCAUGUAGCAUUUUAUAUGUGAAGAAAACUACAAUUUUUUUUUUUUCCCU